AAACACUAUCCUGAGUGAAGUAAGCCAGACCCAAAAAGAGGAACAUGGGAUGUAUUCACUCAUAUUUGGUUUCUAGCCAUAAAUAAAGGACAUUGAGCCUAUAAUUCGUGAUCCUAGAGAAGCUAAAUAAGAAGGUGAACCCAAAGAAAAACAUAUAGGCAUCCUCCUGAAUAUUAACCUUCAUCAGGUGAUGAAAGGAGACAGAGACAGAGACCCACACUGGAGCACCGGACUGAAAUCUCAAGGUCCAAAUCAGGAGCAGAAGGAGAGAGAGCACGAGCAAGGAACUCAGGACCGCGAGGGGUGCACCCACACACUGAGACAAUGGGGAUGUUCUAUCGGGAACUCACCAAGGC